GAUGAAGAACGCAGCGAAAUGCGAUAAGUAGUGUGAAUUGCAGAAUUCCGUGAAUCAUCGAAUCUUUGAACGCACAUUGCGCCUUCUGGUAUUCCGGAAGGCAUGCCUGUUCGAGAGUCAUUAACAACCGUUUCGAUCCCUUUCUUUCAGAAAUUACAAAGAGGAAAAGGGUUUGUUUAUGGUGGAGGAGGGAAAGGGAGCGUUUAGCCUGUAAAAAAAGAGGCUGUGUUCCGCCUCCCCCCCAAAAUUGUACAGGCGGUCGUGUGCGCCCACGCAUCGAGGUGUUGUAAAAGCUGCCACGGCACUUUUCACCUGUGCAGUGCGAGAUUGGCCAGCCGGUUUAAAAACCCCUCCAAACAAUCAAAGGUUGACCUCGGAUCAGGUAGGGAUACCCGCUGAACUUAAGCAUAUCAAUAAGCGGAGGA
rnacentral:misc_RNA from 1 species